UCGAGGGUACACCACCGAAACACAUUUCGACUGUGGACAUUUCUCGUUCUGCGAACGACAAACAGAAUCUCGUGAAUAGCUAAAAAUAUACGACCACUAAACACAUAGCAACACUGCAAGUCAAUCGUAUCGUAUUGCUACUUAUGCAAGCUUACCAAAAACAAAACCUUUCGUUUCGCUUCUCCAGCAAUACAAUGGAGUUUUUAUUCCUUAUCGUGCACUCAAUCAGAACCAAUUAGUUAUUUGAUUUUCGUCGUUAUCGGUGUUUAAUUUUGAUUCAGCAAGCACUCGAGACGUAACUAUUUCCAUUGAUCAAAGCCAAGUGCAACGAUGAGAUAACAAUCGCUGCUAUACACACAAGUGCACAAUGAUAGUGUGGUGUUUAUUCGUUCUGUCACUGGACGCUCGUGACGGUAAUCGUCAACCUUUCACCCGGAAUAGUUCACUAGUGACUGGUGCAAGUGUAACAUAGCAAAACACACUUCGAACCACGAGUAGAUUGUUGGCGAAAAAUGGCAUCCCUGACGAGUUGCGAAUGUCCAAACUACGCAUGUGUGAAACUUUGCGAGAAAAAAAAACAUUCUCAACAAACCCAAGCUGAUGGAAACUACCAACUAACGCAACGAUGACAUCGGUUUUGUAGCAAAAUACGAAGCGUAAACAUUUUGUUUACCACUUAUGGAAACGCAUGGUAUUUUUGCACUUAAGAUUCAAUGCCGUUGUUUAUUGAAUCUAAUCCGCCAAAAGCGAAAAUGUUUCUUAUCGCUUCAGUACCAUUCCACAGAACAAAUGUAGAAAUCUCCCAACAAACAUUCACUGAAUUUAACGACUUCAUAGAGUAAUCAGGGGCCCACUAUUAAUCGAAGAAAACGGACCUCAAACUUCUGAGUUUUCAUCAAUAUCGACAAUUUCAGGGACGGGAGCGAAAACGAGGAUUGACUGCCUGUCUUAUGAAUAUAUGAAGUACCGCUCAUAACAGAAAAAUCUUUGAAUGAACAUCAAACGAGAAGAAUCAACCAAGAUUGUAGCCACUUUCUGGGUAUUGAAGGAAAACCCCUGCAAAGCAGAUGAAAACUUAUGGAUUGAAAUAGUCUUCCCCAAUGGGGAGCUUUAACCGAUUAAUGCAGCAGAAGUCUGUCAAAUCAGUUUUAUAAGCUGAAGGUAAGUGCUGACAGGACAGAGAAAAAGUUAGAAUAGGAAAAUAACGGAGAUUCAUUCUACUUAUUCUUUUCGGUACGUUUUUUAUUAGUAGAUUUUAUGUUUUCGGUGAAAAUCGAACACGACCGUUCUUUGUGAUAGUUUUUGACACAAUUGACUAUUCCACCCCCUUUGAAAGAGAUCGUAGGUAUUCAGUCAAUUUGGGAACCUACGAUUCCGGACUGGACAGUCUCGAUGGACAGGAGACUGAAAAUGACUACUGACUAAU